GAUGAAGAACGUAGCGAAAUGCGAUACUAGGUGUGAAUUGCAGAAUCCCGUGAACCAUCGAGUCUUUGAACGCAAGUUGCGCCCGAAGCCAUUUGGUUGAGGGCACGUCUGCCGGCGCGUCACAUAUCGUUGCCCGAUGCCUAUUGCACUGUGAUAGGAAAUUCUAGGGCGAAAGAUGGCUUCCCGUGAGCGUUGUUGCCUCGCGGUUGGUUGAAAAUUGAGUCCUUGGUAGGGUGUGCCAUGAUAGAUGGUGGUCGAGUUUGCACGAGACCGAUCAUGUGUGCGCUCCCCAAAAUAUGGACUCUUUGACCCCACACGCGUCUUUUGACGCUCAUGACGAGACCUCAGGUCAGGCGGGGCUACCCGCUGAGUUUAAGCAUAUCAAUAAGCGGAGGA
rnacentral:misc_RNA from 1 species